AACAUUUUUCAUACAGUUAUCUGUAUGAAUAAUUUUUUUUUUCCUUUUUUUACUCUAAUACUAGGAAAAUGUAGAAUUAAGUUGGAAAAUUAUCGCGGUGUACUCUGUAUAGGAUUCAUCAGAGAGCACGGAGGAUAGUCAUCUUCAUUUCAAUAGCAGCUCAACAGAAACUCCGGUAGGUGUUUGGAGACAGAGAGAAAGAACCCAGAUCUGAUUUUCUUCGAAGCGAAUGAGAGCACGACUCCUCCGUACCGGAUCGCUUGAUUUUCUUCCUCUCUCUCUUAUAUCUUUAACUCCAGAUCUGAUCUUGGAUUUAAGAAGCAGAUCGAUUCCAGGUAUUUCACUUCCAAUACAAUAAAAAGUGGGGUUCUGCAUCAUGGGUUCCAAACUCCAAGUCAAACUAAAGUUCCUCUCAAAAAAGCUGCUCAUAAAAUGAGUGAAUAAUUUUGGUUUAAGUUACCCCCGUGCCUCGUGCUCUUGUGGUUAAAUAUAAGCAUCAUUCUUCUUGAUUUUUUUUCAGGUUAUAAAUUGAUUUAUAAUCUGAUAAUCUGAUCGUCGAUGCUUAUUUGUUUUAAAUGGCUAACAUUCCAAAAGAUAGCAAAUACUUGGGUCUUGAUCUCAGGUGUCAUUUGGCAUAAGAGGGGGUUCUGAUCGAUCUUCUGUAGAUGCAAACAGAGGGGGUUCUGGUCUUCUGGAGAUGCAGCAGACGAAGGGGAAGAUGAAGAGAACGGGAAGAUGAAGAAAUGAAGAAUUAAUCUGGAGUGUGUUUCUUUGUUCAAUCAUGUAUAUUUUGUUUGUAUAUUUAUUGACAUUCAUCCCCUUCUCCCUCCUUGUAUCGAAUAUGAUGAGAAUUUUAAUAAUUAGUUAAUAUUAUUGGUUGUUCUUCAAAUAUAUAUUGUUGGUUAAUAACUUAAUAUUCAACAUUA